rnacentral:tRNA from 1 species
GGUGGGGUAGCUCAGUUGGUAGAGCGAAGGACUGAAAAUCCUUGCGUCGCCAGUUCAAUUCUGGCCCUCACCA